rnacentral:rRNA from 1 species
CAAAACUAUUUGCCCGAGAACUACUGGCUACUGCUUAAAACUCAAAGGACUUGGCGGUUCUCUAUAUCCAUCUAGAGGAGCCUGUUCUAUAAUCGAUAAACCCCGCUACACCUUACCAUUUCUUGCUAAUUCAGCCUAUAUACCGCCAUCUUCAGCAAACCUUAAAAAAGAACAUCAGUAAGCAAGACAAUCAACCAUAAAAACGUUAGGUCAAGGUGUAGCUUAUGAAAUGGAAAGCAAUGGGCUACAUUUUCUCACCAGAGAACACCCACGAUAUUCUUUAUGAAACUAAAGAACAAAGGCGGAUUUAGUAGUAAAUUAAGAAUAGAGAGCUUAAUUGAAUUGAGCAAUGGAGUA